rnacentral:rRNA from 1 species
GUAUGGGGCAAGCGUUAUCCGGAUUUACUGGGUGUAAAGGGAGCGUAGGCGGCAGGGCAAGCCUGAUGUGAAAGCCCGGGGCUCAACCCCGGGACUGCAUUGGGAACUGCCCCGCUCGAGUGCCGGAGGGGCAGGCGGAAUUCCUAGUGUAGCGGUGAAAUGCGUAGAUAUUAGGAGGAACACCAGUGGCGAAGGCGGCCUGCUGGACGGUGUACUGACGCUGAGGCUCGAAAGCGUGGGGAGCAAA